UACAGAGGGUGCAAGCGUUGUUCGGAAUUAUUGGGCGUAAAGGGCGCGUAGGCGGUGCGGUAAGUCUGCGGUGAAAUCUCCCGGCUCAACUGGGAGGGUGCCUUGAAAACUGCUAGGCUUGAGGCAGGGAGAGGGAUGUGGAAUUCCAGGUGUAGUGGUGAAAUGCGUAGAUAUCAGGAGGAACACCGGUGGCGAAGGCGGUUCUCUGGGCCUUACCUGACGCUGGAGGAGCGAAAGCGUGGGGAGCGAACAGG
rnacentral:rRNA from 1 species